rnacentral:misc_RNA from 1 species
UGAGUCUAUAAAUCCUGGGAGUUUUUAGAUUCGAUCUCUAGAGAAGGCAAAUAAAGGGAUUAGUAUGAUUCUAGAAUGGACACAAAAAUAUCUUUUUAUAAUAUUUGGCCAAAUGGAUAUUAGCUUAAUUUGGAUUUUGCACCAUAAUUAAGCACUCUUUAGUUCCCUCUAAGCUAUUGUAUAAUUAUUUAUCGAAUAAAAAAGUCAACCGACCAACAAACCAGUCGACAGUGGCAGAAGCCAGCAGUUCUUGCUUUAGGUCUCUGAAGAUCGAAACAGGGAGAGAAAGAAUGGCAAGAGCGGGAUUACAAACGCUGUCAAUGUAGGGAUAGCAGU